rnacentral:rRNA from 1 species
CAGCAGUAGCCGCGGUAAUACGAAGGGGGCUAGCGUUGCUCGGAAUGACUGGGCGUAAAGGGCUCGCAGGCGGUUUCUUAAGUCUGAUGUGAAAGCCCCCGGCUCAACCGGGGAGGGUCAUUGGAAACUGGGAAACUUGAGUGCAGAAGAGGAGAGUGGAAUUCCACGUGUAGCGGUGAAAUGCGUAGAGAUGUGGAGGAACACCAGUGGCGAAGGCGACUCUCUGGUCUGUAACUGACGCUGAGGAGCGAAAGCGUGGGGAGCGAACAGGAUUAGAUACCCCAGUAGUCCCUGUCUCUUAUAC